rnacentral:rRNA from 1 species
UACGUAGGGUGCGAGCGUUAAUCGGAAUUACUGGGCGUAAAGCGUGCGCAGGCGGUUCGUUAUGUCCGAUGUGAAAGCCCCGAGCUCAACUUGGGAAUGGCAUUGGAAACUGGCGGGCUGGAGUGUGGCAGAGGGGGGUGGAAUUCCACGGUGUAGCAGUGAAAUGCGUAGAGAUGUGGAGGAACACCGAUGGCGAAGGCAGCCCCCUGGGCCAACACUGACGCUCAGGCACGAAGCGUGGGGAGCAAACAGGA